CCUCGGAUCAGGUAGGGAUACCCGCUGAACUUAA
rnacentral:rRNA from 9 species